rnacentral:rRNA from 1 species
GACGAACGCUGGCGGCGUGCCUAAUACAUGCAAGUAGAACGCUGAAGGAGGAGUUUGCUUCUCUGGAUGAGUUGCGAACGGGUGAGUAACGCGUAGGUAACCUGCCUGGUAGCGGGGGAUAACUAUUGGAAACGAUAGCUAAUACCGCAUAAUAGCAGUUGUUGCAUGACAACUGUUUGAAAGGUGCAAUUGCACCACUACCAGAUGGACCUGCGUUGUAUUAGCUAGUUGGUGGGGUAACGGCUCACCAAGGCGACGAUACAUAGCCGACCUGAGAGGGUGAUCGGCCACACUGGGACUGAGACACGGCCCAGACUCCUACGGGAGGCAGCAGUAGGGAAUCUUCGGCAAUGGACGGAAGUCUGACCGAGCAACGCCGCGUGAGUGAAGAAGGUUUUCGGAUCGUAAAGCUCUGUUGUAAGAGAAGAACGAGUGUGAGAGUGGAAAGUUCACACUGUGACGGUAUCUUACCAGAAAGGGACGGCUAACUACGUG